CAGUCGCCGCGGUAACACGGAGGGGGCUAGCGUUGUUCGGAAUUACUGGGCGUAAAGCGCACGUAGGCGGCUUUGUAAGUUAGAGGUGAAAGCCUGGAGCUCAACUCCAGAAUUGCCUUUAAGACUGCAUCGCUUGAAUCGCGGAGAGGUGAGUGGAAUUCCGGGUGUAGAGGUGAAAUUCGUAGAUAUUCGGAAGAACACCAGUGGCGAAGGCGGCUCACUGGACGCGUAUUGACGCUGAGGUGCGAAAGCGUGGGGAGCAAACAGGAUUAGAUACCCCGGUAGUCCCUGUCUCUUAUAC
rnacentral:rRNA from 1 species